UCUGCAGACCCGGCCUUGGCAAGC
rnacentral:miRNA from 1 species